GCCCGGGUGGUGGAACGGCAGACACGGCCGCCUUAAAAGCGGCUGCCCUAACAAGGCGUGCGGGUUCGAGACCCGCCCCGGGCACC
rnacentral:tRNA from 1 species